CGCACGUGUCUCUUUGUUAGCGGGUCAGAAAGCUACACGAAGCUAGCUCCAGGAGCUUCGGCGUUUUUCGAAGGACAAGAAUGUUUAAGCGAAAAAGAUGUUUUAGUCACGUACAGUAGCGAUGGCGUCCGGUAUCGAGGUUUCCAGCGCGUUCGGUAGUCAUUUAGGAAGAAUUACAUCCGGAAGCGGGUGUGGUAAAUGGGGAAAAAAACAACAACACUCCAGCUACGUAUGCCGUGUGCUGCCAUGACCGCUAGAUGGCAAUGUUGCCUCGGCCACGGCGUUCCAUGACGGGAACAGGAAGUAAAAAGAUUCUGACUUGGGUGUGAUUUGUUCCGAGCGACGCAAUAUUGAACGCGCUGCACCCAAACAACAUGAGUUAGAUUUUCGUGUCCGGGUUAACUUGUCUUGAAGCUUCUCGAGUGGGUUUAGCUUAGCUUAGUUUACCUUAGUUCGCUAGCAAAGAACAAAGAACAAAGCGUGUGCAAAUGUGUGCCAAAAGUGUGAAAGAAGAAGAGGACUCACUCGGAGCAGACGUCAGCGAAGAAGAUCUUCGUCACGAGACGCAGGAAGUGCACCCUUGCUGAGGUCGGAGAACCAUCGUGAAGGUCAACCGUUGCGAACGCAUUCCACCAAUCAGGCCUUUAUGGUGCCGGAGUCACGAAGCGAUUGUGAGGGCAAUAGGCGAUGAUCGCCUUGAUCAAUUAAUACAAAUAAUACCUCAC